rnacentral:tRNA from 1 species
UCUCGUGUGGCUCAGUUGGUAGAGAGCGGCGCUUGUAACGACAAGGUUGUGGGUUCAAUUCCCACAGGGGGAC